GCCCCUAUCGUCUAGUUGGCUUAGGACAGUUCCUUUUCACGGAACAAACAGGGAUUCGAUUUCCCUUGGGGGUA
rnacentral:tRNA from 1 species